rnacentral:rRNA from 1 species
AUUGAACGCUGGCGGCAGGCCUAACACAUGCAAGUCGAACGAGUGGCGGACGGGUGAGUAAUGUCUGGGAAACUGCCCGAUGGAGGGGGAUAACUACUGGAAACGGUAGCUAAUACCGCAUACCAUGGGAUGUGCCCAGAUGGGCUUAGCUGGUAGGUGGGGUAACGGCUCACCGAGGCGACGAUCCCUAGCUGGUCUGAGAGGAUGACGAGGCACACUGGAACUGAGACACGGUCCAGACUCCUACGGGAGGCAGCGGUGGGGAAUAUUGGACAAUGGGCGCAAGCCUGAUGCGGCCAUGCCGCGUGUAUGAAGAAGGCCUUCGGGUUGUAAAGUACUUUCAGCGGGGAGGCGUUACCCGCAGAAGAAGCACCGGCUAACUCCGUGCCAGCAGCCGCGGUAAUAC